UACAGAGGUCUCAAGCGUUGUUCGGAUUCAUUGGGCGUAAAGCGCACGUAGGCGGUUCAGCAAGUCGAGUGUGAAAGCCCCCGGCUCAACUGGGGAAGUGCAUUCGAAACUACUGGGCUUGAAUACUGGAGAGGGUCGCGGAAUUCCCGGUGUAGAGGUGAAAUUCGUAGAUAUCGGGAGGAACACCAGUGGCGAAGGCGGCGACCUGGACAGAUAUUGACGCUGAGGUGCGAAAGCGUGGGGAGCAAACAGG
rnacentral:rRNA from 1 species